UAGCUCAGUUGGUAGAGCAUGGUGUUGGUAGAGCAUGGUGUUUGCAACGCCAGGGUUGUGGGUUCGAUUCCCAC
rnacentral:tRNA from 1 species